GGUUACCUUGAAGAAAGCGUGGCACGCGGCUUAAUGCGCCAAGCGGUGCUCGCAGCCAAACACUGUCUCGACCGGGGUGUUUUUCACCGUGACAUCAAGUCAGACAACAUCCUGGUCAACACGGAGACGCUGCAACUCAAAUUAAUAGACUUUGGCUGCGGCAAACUUUUGGAAACUUCUGAAGAGCUCAAAGAGGGCCCAGCGGUCAGAGCUACGGUCAAGUCUUUGGGUGUUUUGCUGUUCAGGAUGGUGAAUGGAAUCAGCUUUGUCGAUUUGCAGAUGAUACCUUCCUCCACUUUAUCCAGUGAAUGCCGUGAUCUUUUGAGCCAGUGCAAGAGCAGCAGCCUGACUUUAGACAAGCUCCUAGAACACGAAUGGUUUAGGAAGAGCUGAAGGAGGGAAGAAAAUGUCGCUCGGGAGUCAGUGUUUUAUUAGACUAAUUUAUUGUGGGUGCAGAAAUUUCUGGCGCGAAUCGCGUGCGGGAGAAGCAAACGUCAUCAACACACGGAUCACUUCAUCCGGAGAAGGAUUAACGGCCCUGAGAAAACCUUCCAAACCCAGCCACAGCACUGUUUUGUUUCCUGAAUGAAUCAGCAGUUUAAAGGAUUCGGUUCAAUCGCUUUGACUCACUUAUUAACAGUGACUUCCUUCCACCUACAGACGGAUUCAUUUUUAUUUAAAUAAUCUCAAACAUCAGCAUUCACCGUUUUGUUUAAUAUAAAAACAUGCAUGCAUUGUCAAAUUAGUCAUUUAUGAAGUUAAAUAAACAUGCAGAUUUAUGUAAAAGCUGAUAGAACACUGAAAAUAUUGCUUCAGAAUAAAUUUACACCAAAAAUCUAGGUGAUGCUAAAUUCUAAACCUUGUCUGCGUGUUAAUCUUUCUGUGUCAUUCAUUUAUUUACUUGAAGUUAAACUAGUAUUAAUUUCUUUCAGAAUUUUCCUGGGAAUAAAUCCUGGUCAAAGGCUGAGAUGAAGGGAACAAAACAUCAAAAUCCUUCAAGACCGCCGAAAUUCCUGGGAAAAGGAAAAAACCCUGCAACCGUUUAUUUCUGAUUUUGUGUUUUUUAAUUAAUUUGGCUUGGUUUCUUUAUUUUACUAAUUGUUUUGACGCGUGCAUCACUAAUAUUGCACACAAUGCUAUUUAAAACAUGACGUUGUUUUAAUGUUGUUUGUAUGUUUUCAUGUUAUUUAGUUGUU